GGACGCUCUCAACUUUGCGUGCCUCCAUCGGCAUUUAAAUAAAGGAUUGACACAUAUAUUCGAAUUAGUCAUGAAGAAAUUGUGGGACGGAUUUCAUGAAUACGAAAUGUGGCGGAAGGCAGUGGCGAUGUUUCGUGAAUUUAUAAGGACUUUCCCGACGGCCUUUUGUGGAUUUAUAAGGUCUUUUGUGACAACCUUUUGUGGAUUUAUAAGGACUUUUCCAUCGACCUUUUGUGGAUUUAUAAGGACUUUUCCAACGACCUUUUGUGGAUUUAUAAGGACUUUUGUGACGAUCUUCUUUGGAUUUAUAAGGACAUUUGUGCAAAAAAAAGGGCUGCUUUGGAUUUUUGUGCUCGGCAUUUCUGGAUGGAGCACGGUUACCAUAUUGGUUCUUUUAAAAAACAGAUACGAAACGGACUCCACGACCAUAGGGCUGUCGACUGCCUAUCUUCGCUGGACAAACACCUUCCCAUCGAUUGCAAUCUGUUUGACAAAAACGCAAUCGGGAAGCGAAUUCCAGGACGCAAUAAAGAAACGUUUUGGUCCCAAAAUACCCUACGUCAUAAUAAGAAGUUUAUACUCAUAUAUUUUUGUUAACCCUAACAGCAUCAACGCAGCAUCAACCGCUUGCAAGAAGCCGAACUCGUGCAAUUUUGAUAUCUUUGAAUUAAGAAGAGAGUUCUUUCCAACAAAUUGCACUGUGAUCUUUGAGAAAGUAUACUUUCGUGAAGAAUUGCAGCCAGAUUGCGAAGAGAUAUUCAAGUUUCAUGAGACGGAAAUGGGCUACUGCUUUCUGGCAAACAAUCUAUUGGACUAUAAGUCUAUCGAAGAGAUGCCUCUCAGGUAUUCUUCGUUGGAAAAACACCGAAAUCUGCGAUUAAUUUUACGACGAUCUCCAAUAUAUGGGUAUGAGUUGUACGUCAACAGCCCUGAGGAUCUUCCCUUCUUCAAUGCCUUGUCCUACAGCAUCUCACACGAACCCCAAGUACACGCCUUCAACGUCGAGGAGAUUGACAAUCACGAAGGCGUCAUCGACGAGCCUGUUUCCCAAAGGAAGUGCAAGUUCCCAAGCGAAAGUUCCGUCGAGGGGUUUCCUUACAGCUUCUCGACCUGCAUGUCCAUCAUCCGGAGUAAGUUUGAAAUGGAACUGUGCAACUGCUCUUUAUUCAGCCCCCAGAAUCGCAACGAAAGUAUCUUUUGCGGAAUGUUGGAUCUCCAAUGCUUGGACAACGUUGGCAUCUAGAGUGAAGGAUUACGUUGGACAGAACAUGGCUUGCUUGCCAUCCUGCGUGGAGCAGCAGAUAAGUCUAGUGGGGUCCCAACUAGA
rnacentral:misc_RNA from 1 species